rnacentral:misc_RNA from 1 species
CGGUACCGCUAAAGGUUUUAUCAAUGCACUUAACAUUGCACAGCAAACAGCUAGGGCAGCGGGCCCGGGAGCGGCAUUUGCAUUUCCCUUGCUAUAUGUGACGCAAAUAGCAGCCGUACUUUCUGCAGCUGCAAAGGCAAAAAGUAUAUUAGGAUCAAGCGGAGGUGGUGGAUCUUCUGUUUCAGCACCUGCACCCGCUUCAUUAGCGGCUCCGUUAACUCCACAAAGGCCGCAGCAAACAACUACUCAAUUAGAUCAAGAUUCGCUGAAUGCUAUCGGCAACAGCACCGUACGUGCAUUUUUUCUCGAGUCGGAUUUUGAAGGCAGAGAGAGGAUAGUUCGCUUAAACC